rnacentral:misc_RNA from 1 species
ACAUUACCUGCAGAUACUGGGAGGGGCAUGAUGACAAAGAGUCGUCUGUUUCCCGGUGACCUUCUUAUAUCCAUACCCAGACCAUUACUGAUCACCGUGGAAACAGUUCUGUCCUCAGAAAUAGGGGAACAAGUCAAAUGUAAAAAUGUAAAGUUUACCAGACAACAGCUGCUCUCUCUCUUUCUCCUUCAAGAAAAAAACAAGGGAAGCAACUCUUUCUGGCAUCCCUACAUUUCAGUUCUCCCUAAGACUCUUGAAACAUUUGGAAAUUUCUCACCAAGGGAGAUGACUCUGUUUCCACCAAGGCUUCAAAUUAUUGUGAAGUGUAGAAUGGCAGACAUGAAGCAGGCAUAUAUGGAAGUGAGAAACUUUUGGUCAGGAGAGGAAAUUGAGUACAGCCAAUUUUUGUGGGCAUGGUUUUGUGUAAAUCUCGCUCUGUGUUCUACCGGUCAGCAGGGUCAGAGUUUGUGAGAGAGGACGGGAACCACUUGGCACUGGCUCCAUACCUGGAUCUGCUGAACCACUCAGUGGGGGCUCAGGUAGAGGCGGGUUACAAUCAGGAGAGUGGUUGCUAUGAAAUCCACACAGGUGACACGUACAGGAAGCACAGCCAGGUGUUUAUUUCAUAUGGUAACCAUGACAACUACCAUCUCCUAGUGGAGUAUGGCUUCACUCUACCAGACAACCCUAACGAUGUCUUCCAAGUAGAAUAUAAUGAUGUGUUAAAUGCCGCCUUAUCUUUGGGUGUGGAUAACAUGGAGAAGAAGAAAGAAAUUAUACAACAGCAAAGCUUCCACAGACAAUUGGUUUGCUCUAUGGAAGGUAUGUCCUGGAACCUACUCCUGGUCACAAGAAUUUUAGCCAUGAACUGGACAGAGCUAGAGCAGUGGAAGUUGGUGCUGACUGGAUUUGCAAUGUCUGAUCGUAACAACACAUUGUCCAGACAGAUCGCAAGAACAUUCCUCACCAAGUACAUCAAACAGAAUCAGGAUCUGAUCACCAAGUUUGAUACUCCACUGUCUCCAAACACGGUUGAAUCUAUGGUUUUUUCUAUUGUACAAACCGAGAGGAAUAUUCUACAGUUAACUUGGACUUCAGUGACUUGACAACUACAAUACGUUUAUCUAGGCACCCAGCGACCAAGAGAUGUGCCAGCUACAAGAUCUAUAGACAAAGUGAUUCCAUUGUCCCUGUCAGAGGCAAAGUGAUUGGCCACAAUAUUAGUUUACAUUCCAUCAUGAUGUAGAUGGGCUAAAAUAUCGGUAGGGAUAACAUAUGGAUGUAGAAAGUGAUGGGCUACAAUAUCGGUAUAGGGAUAACAUAUGGAUAUAGAAAGUGAUGGACUAUAUUACAUGUAUUAGCAGGGAUUCAAUCGUGAUGCUGAAAGUGAUGGGCUACAAUAUCGGUAGACAAUUCCAUUUUGGUAUAAAAAGGACGUCUACUUAAUGCACCAGAUAAUUGCUAGAGGACUACAUCACUAAUGUUAAAGAAUGUUCUUGAUGAUCGUACUCUGUUCAGCCAGGACAUUUGGAAUUUAAUGACUGAGGAUGAACUGUUUAAGAAUAUGUAUAUGAUGUUGAACUAGAUGUCUUCGUUAAAGUAACAUAAUAGUUUAUAAUUAUAAUAAAUCAAAGUUUAUUAUAUGUUUAAAUGAUCAAUGGUUACUAGGUUUGUGAAACUCCAAAAAAAAAGAAAUCAAUACAAAUCGUAUAGAACUAAUGAUUCAAGUCACGAUUAUCUAUAAUUCUUUAAUUAUUGCCGUGUACAAACAAGUAUUCGGAUUUUUUAACAAUAGUUUGAUUUCGGUAUUAUUUUUUUUAUUGAAUAAGGUAUCUAGUAUUAAAUGAGGAGUAAACAAAGAAAUAUUACAUCUAGUUUAACAAAAUUCCUGCAAGAAUAACCAAACAGAACUUGUAGAAAUGGAUAUUGAGUAAACCAUUUUUUAUUCUCCAUGUCUUUUAUUAUCGUGCUUGACAUGUGAGAAAAUCGUUUGUUUUGCAACUGAGCACAUGUUACAUGUGAUAAUCAAAUUUGACUUUUAUUGAUUAUUUUUUAUGUCCCCUAUGAUUCUGUGUUAAAAACGUCUACAAUCUAGAACUAAGACAAACCAACAUGACAUAAAACAACGUGAAUAAAAUAUUAUCAAUGGUU